rnacentral:lncRNA from 1 species
UAAAGCAGAGCUUAGAGGGAAAUAUAUAGUUUUAAAGGCUAAAGUUUUUUUUAAAAAAAGAAAGGGCUAAAAACAAUUACCUAAAGAAGCCAUAAGAAGAUUAAAUUACACUCAAGUAAAAAAAAAAAAAAACCACUAAGUAAGCCUUGGCAGAAGUACUGCAUGCAGGAUAGGCAAACCCAUAUCCAGAGUAAGUGUCUAUUCCAGUGAGGACAAACAUCUGCCCUUUCCAUGAUGGAAGAGGUCCAAUAUAAUUAACCUGUCACCAGGUAGCUGGCUGAUCACCCCGAAGAAUGGUAGGAAUGUGUUGCCUCCAAAAUCCAAGUAGGCCCACUAGGCAUUGUGCUUCUUUCUUGGUUGUAGGAGGGGCCAAAUGCAGCAACUUAUCCCUCACCUUAGAAGGAAUAUCCCAAUAGGCCCCAUACCACUGGACCUCUAGAAAUUUUACUGAAGUACAAGGUCCCUGAAUUUUAGUCUCAUUUAUUUCACAUCCUCUGGCAUGCAAAUGUCUCACCAAUAAGUACAGUGUGUUUGCUUCUUCUUGCUCACUGGAUCCAAUCAGCAUAAUGUCAUCAAUGUAAUGCACCAGUGUGAUAUCUUGAGGAAGCGUGGUGAUCAAGGUCUCUCCAAAUAAGAUUAUGACACAAAGCCAGAGAGUUGAUAUACCCCUGAGGUAGGAUGGUAAAGGUAUAUUGCUGGCCUUGCCAGCUGAAGGCAAAUUGCUUCUGGUGGGCCAUAUGGGCAGGAAUGGAGAAAAAGGCAUUUGCCAAGUCAAUAGCUGCAUACCAAGUACCAGGAGAUGUGUUAAUUUUCUCAAGCAAUGAAACUACGUCUGGUACAGCAGCCGCAAUUGGAAUCACCACUUGGUUAAGCUUAUGACAAUCCACUGUCAUUCUCCAAGAUCCACCUGUCUUCUGCACAGGCCAGAUGGAAGUGUCAAGUGCGGAUGUGCUGAGAAUCACCACCCCUGUGUCCUUCAAGUCCCUGAUGGUGGCACUAAUCUCUGCAAUCCC